AUUAUAGAUCCAGUAAAAUGUUAUUUAAUAUUGUAAAUAUAUCUGGGAAAUAAAAUGUUUGCAAUAUGUUUGUUAGAGUAAAAAAAAUGAAUUCAAAGUUCAAAUUUUCCCGCUACUCCAAGGUUGUGGACAUAACAGUUCCUGCAGUGAUAGCUAGAUGGCGCUGAGAAUACAUUAUGACGCUACAUAAAUUAAUGCUUAAUUUCAACACACUAAUAUUCAAAAUGCUUUAUUGAAAGCAACAAUUUCGAAAUAGUAUCAAUUUUACUGCAAAAGCUUAUCAAAGUAUGAAUUAGGGUGCAUUAGCUUCUUCCUUGAAGUACAAUUUUUAAAGAUAUGUGUUACCAGAUAUUACAAAGUUUUUAGAAAAUGUUAUUGGAACAAAAAAAAAGAUAGACUAGAAGAAAUUGAUAAAAGAUUUAUUCUUGAAAGAAUUGAUUGACAAUGGAAGAUAAAUAGAGAUUGGAAAAUUUUCAAGGACACCAGUCUGACGAACUUGCGUUGACGAACCUGCGCCUUUUUAUACGUAUUAUCUCCCAUGCUGAAAUGUGGACCAGCAGCCUACCUGUCCUGUGCAGAAGACCUCUCGCAGUAUUGAUCACUGCGGGAGGGAAAGGCACGUUGGGGGAUAGUCGAUGAACACGUGGCAGCAGUCGAACUUUUAAGUGAGGAUUUUCACUCCUCACACACGCAAAUAGGAUCAGAAAAAAUAUCCUCCAUUCCGUACCCUUUAAAUCCAAAGCAUAUUUUGUACCCAGAGUUGGUUGAUCGUGGUAGCAAUGGGAAGACGUUAUCGAAGGAGGCGGUCGAAGAGGGUGAGCUAUGAAGGAGCGGUACAG